CCACUCCCACUGCUUCACUUGACCAG
rnacentral:piRNA from 3 species